GACGAACGCUGGCGGCGUGCUUAACACAUGCAAGUCGAACGAAGUGGCGAACGGGUGAGUAACGCGUAAUCAACCUGCCCUUCAGAGGGGGACAACAGUUGGAAACGACUGCUAAUACCGCAUACCGAUCGAGGGGAAUGCGACUGAUGUGCUAGUUGGAGGGGUAACGGCCCACCAAGGCGAUGAUCAGUAGCCGGUCUGGGAGGAAGAACAGCCACAUUGGGGUGGAGACAGGGCCCAGACUCCUACGGGAGGCAGCAGUGGGGAAUCUUUCGCAAUGGACGAAAGUCUGACGAAGCAACGCCGCGUGAGUCAUGACGGCCUUCGGGUUGUCAAGCUCUGUUAAUCGGGACGCGGUACCGGAAUAGAAAGCCACGGCUAACUACGUGCCAGCAGCCGCGGUAAUAC
rnacentral:rRNA from 1 species